CCUACGGGCGGCAGCAGUGGGGAAUAUUGCACAAUGGGGGAAACCCUGAUGCAGCGACGCCGCGUGAGUGAAGAAGUACUUCGGUAUGUAAAGCUCUAUCAGCAGGGAAGAAAAUGACGGUACCUGAGUAAGAAGCCCCGGCUAACUACGUGCCAGCAGCCGCGGUAAUACGUAGGGGGCAAGCGUUAUCCGGAUUUACUGGGUGUAAAGGGAGCGUAGACGGCAGUGCAAGUCGUGAGUGAAAGGCGGGGGCUCAACCCGCGGACUGCUCUGGAAACUGUACGGCUGGAGUGCAGGAGAGGUAAGUGGAAUUCCUGGUGUAGCGGUGAAAUGCGUAGAUAUUAGGAGGAACACCAGUGGCGAAGGCGGCUUACUGGACUGUAACUGACGUUGAGGCUCGAAAGCGUGGGGAGCAAACAGGAUUAGAUACCCUGGUAGUC
rnacentral:rRNA from 1 species